ACUCGGCGUAAAGAGUGGUUAGACUCAUAAAUCCACUAAAGCCGAACGCCUUUUUAACUGUUAUACGUUCUUGAAGGCAAGAAGCCCCUCUACGAAAGUAGCUUUACUAACAUUGACCCCACGAAAGCUGUGAAACAAACGGGGAUUAGAUACCCCCCUAUGCGGAGCCGUAAACUUUGGCAACCUACUACAAGGGUUGCCCGCCCGGGUACUACGAGCAUUAGCUUCAAACCCAAAGGACUUGGCGGUGCUUAAGAUCCCCCUAGAGGAGCCUGUUCUAGAACCGAUACCCCCCGUUAAACCUCACCCUCUUUUGUUUUUUCCGCCUAUAUACCGCCGUCGUCAGCUUACCCUGUGAAGGUCUAAAUAGUAAGCAAAAGUAGCA
rnacentral:rRNA from 1 species